GACGAACGCUGGCGGCGUGCCUAAUACAUGCAAGUCGAGCGAAUCAAUGGGAGCUUGCUCCCUGAGAUUAGCGGCGGACGGGUGAGUAACACGUGGGUAACCUGCCUGUAAGACUGGGAUAACUUCGGGAAACCGGAGCUAAUACCGGAUAAUUUCUUUUCUCGCAUGAGGAAAGAUGGAAAGAUGGUUCUGCUAUCACUUACAGAUGGACCCGCGGCGCAUUAGCUAGUUGGUGAGGUAACGGCUCACCAAGGCGACGAUGCGUAGCCGACCUGGGAGGGUGAUCGGCCACACUGGGACUGAGACACGGCCCAGACUCCUGCGGGAGGCAGCAGUAGGGAAUCUUCCGCAAUGGACGAAAGUCGGACGGAGCAACGCCGCGUGAGCGAAGAAGGCCUUCGGGUCGUAAAGCUCUGUUGUUAGGGAAGAACAAGUAUCGGAGUAACUGCCGGUACCUUGACGGUACCUAACCAGAAAGCCACGGCUAACUACGUGCCAGCAGCCGCCGUAAUAC
rnacentral:rRNA from 1 species